rnacentral:rRNA from 1 species
AACGUAGGAGACAAACGUUAUCCGGAGUUACUGGGCGUAAAGGGCGUGCAGGCGGUCUGUUAAGUCUGGCGUGAAAGCUCUCGGCUAAACCGGGAGAGGUCGUUGGAUACUGACGGACUAGAGGACGGUAGAGGCGUGUGGAAUUCCGGGUGUAGUGGUGAAAUGCGUAGAUAUCGUAAGGAAGACCAGUGGCGAAGGCGAGUCUCUGGACAGCAACUGACGCUGAGGCACGAAGGCCAGGGGAGCAAACGGG